rnacentral:rRNA from 1 species
GACGAACGCUGGCGGCGUGGAUAAGGCAUGCAAGUCGAACGGGAUGGGGAUUCAAGCAAUUGUGUCCCUUGAGAGUGGCGAACGGGUGAGUAACACGUGGGUAACCUGCCCAUAAGAGGGGGAUAACAUCCGGAAACGGUGCUAAUACCGCAUAGGUUUCUUGGUCGCAUGAUUGAGAAGGAAGGCGGCCUUUGUGCUGUCGCUUAUGGAUGGACCCG